rnacentral:rRNA from 1 species
CAGCAGCCGCCACGGUAAUACGAAGGGGGCUAGCGUUGCUCGGAAUGACUGGGCGUAAAGGGCGCGUAGGCGGUUUGGACAGUCAGAUGUGAAAUUCCUGGGCUUAACCUGGGGGCUGCAUUUGAUACGUUCAGGCUUGAGUGUGGAAGAGGGUCGUGGAAUUCCCAGUGUAGAGGUGAAAUUCGUAGAUAUUGGGAAGAACACCGGUGGCGAAGGCGGCGACCUGGUCCAUUACUGACGCUGAGGCGCGAAAGCGUGGGGAGCAAACAGGAUUAGAUACCCCUGUAGUCCCUGUCUCUUAUAC